GACGAACGCUGGCGGCGUGCUUAACACAUGCAAGUCGAACGGAAAGGCCCUGCUUUUGUGGGGUGCUCGAGUGGCGAACGGGUGAGUAACACGUGAGUAACCUGCCCUUGACUUUGGGAUAACUUCAGGAAACUGGGGCUAAUACCGGAUAGGAGCUCCUGCUGCAUGGUGGGGGUUGGAAAGUUUCGGCGGUUGGGGAUGGACUCGCGGCUUAUCAGCUUGUUGGUGGGGUAGUGGCUUACCAAGGCUUUGACGGGUAGCCGGCCUGAGAGGGUGACCGGCCACAAUGGGACUGAGGUACGGACCAGACUCCUACGGGAGGCAGCAGUGGGGAAUAUUGCACAAUGGGCGGAAGCCUGAUGCGGCAACGCCGCGUGCGGGAUGACGGCCUUCGGGUUGUAAACCGCUUUCGCCUGUGACGAGGCGUGAGUGACGGUAAUGGGUAAAGAAGCACCGGCUAACUACGUG
rnacentral:rRNA from 1 species